CAUGAUUGUUACUCGCAGUUGCAUGAGUAUAGAAGAGCGCGUGGCAACAGAUCCCAACUUUUAACUGUCACACUGCACUUGUAUUCGCUACUGUUUUCAUUUUCAUUGGAUGGCCUGAAACCGAUACGGUUGCGACUCCGGAGAUAAGAAUCGGAAUCGGAGCCGUACACACCCACCGCCUAGCCAUGACCUCCCCCACUCUCUCUCUUCCUCCUCA
rnacentral:misc_RNA from 1 species